rnacentral:rRNA from 1 species
UACAGAGGUCCCAAGCGUUGUUCGGAUUCACUGGGCGUAAAGGGUGCGUAGGUGGCGGGGUAAGUCUGAUGUGAAAUCUCCGAGCUUAACUCGGAAACUGCAUCGGAUACUGCCUUGCUCGAGGGUUGGAGGGGGGGACUGGAAUACUUGGUGUAGCAGUGAAAUGCGUAGAUAUCAAGUGGAACACCAGUGGCGAAGGCGAGUCCCUGGACAACUCCUGACACUGAGGCACGAAAGCUAGGGGAGCAAACAGG